GUGGGGAAUCUUAGACAAUGGGCGCAAGCCUGAUCUAGCCAUGCCGCGUGAGUGAUGAAGGCCCUAGGGUUGUAAAGCUCUAUCAGCAGGGAAGAUAAUGACAGUACCUGACUAAGAAGCCCCGGCUAACUACGUGCCAGCAGCCGCGGUAAUACGAAGGGUGCAAGCGUUAUCCGGAUUCAUUGGGUUUAAAGGGUGCGUAGGCGGAGCGUUAAGUCAGUGGUGAAAUCCUGCAGCUUAACUGUAGACUUGCCAUUGAUACUGGCGCUCUUGAGUGCGCUUGAAGUGGGCGGAAUGUGCCGUGUAGCGGUGAAAUGCUUAGAUAUGGCACAGAACACCAAUUGCGAAGGCAGCUCACUAAGGCGAUACUGACGCUGAGGCACGAAAGCGUGGGGAUCGAACAGGAUUAGAUACCCGGGUAGUCC
rnacentral:rRNA from 1 species